rnacentral:rRNA from 1 species
GUGGGGAAUAUUGGACAAUGGGCGAAAGCCUGAUCCAGCCAUGCCGCGUGUGUGAAGAAGGUCUUCGGAUUGUAAAGCACUUUAAGUUGGGAGGAAGGGCAGUAAGUUAAUACCUUGCUGUUUUGACGUUACCGACAGAAUAAGCACCGGCUAACUUCGUGCCAGCAGCCGCGGUAAUACGAAGGGUGCAAGCGUUAAUCGGAAUUACUGGGCGUAAAGCGCGCGUAGGUGGUUUUGUAAGUUGGAGGUGAAAUCCCCGGGCUCAACCUGGGAACUGCCUCAAAAACUGCAUGACUAGAGUACGGUAGAGGGUAGUGGAAUUUCCUGUGUAGCGGUGAAAUGCGUAGAUAUAGGAAGGAACACCAGUGGCGAAGGCGACUACCUGGACUGAUACUGACACUGAGGUGCGAAAGCGUGGGGAGCAAACAGGAUUAGAUACCCGGGUAGUCC